CAUAUAUCCCACAAAUAUUUUUGAUCGGUACUUAAAACAUCAGGAACAAGCACUGGAAAGUUUCCACUCUGUAUUGGAUUAAAUGACACAACUGGCAAAUUUUAACAGCUUUCUAAAGCUUUUCCAAUGGUACCAGAAUAUCCGCUAGGUCCUGUUGAAGGUCCAUCUAACUUUUGAAUAUUCACAACUGUUCCGUCACAUCCGAUAGCAUUUAAAUGGGAAAAGUCCACCUUUGUCUCUAAGAACUUUACGAUUGCUUGUUUAAUAUGAGAUGCAGUUCCAGACUGCGGCGUCACAUGUCCUAUAUACUUGACGGGGGAGAAUCAAAUUGAUGUUGUAAACCAUAAAAAUACCGUGUAUGUAAUAUAUCUUAUUAUUGUAAAAUUCGAAGCGUUCGGGGAACCUCGGAAAUAUUUUUAAUUUAUUUGUGCUUUUAACACGUUAUUUUGUAUACCGAUAGACAACUUUUGCACACUACCCCACUUCAAAUUUCGAAAAUUGAAUUUUUCGCUCCACCCUAAUGAAUAUUUAUAAAAUUUACUCAAAA